rnacentral:misc_RNA from 1 species
UCUCCGUAGGUGAACCUGCGGAGGGAUCAUUACAGAGUUCAUGCCCUACCGGGUAGAUCUCCCACCCUAUGUUAUUAUUACUUUGUUGCUUUGGCGGGCCGUUAGGCUCCGGCCCGACUACCGGCCCCGGCUGGUAAGCGCCCGCCAGAGGACCCAAAACCCUGAAUAUUAGUGUCGUCUGAGUACUAUAUAAUAGUUAAAACUUUCAACAACGGAUCUCUUGGUUCUGGCAUCGAUGAAAACGCAGC